rnacentral:tmRNA from 1 species
CCCCUUUAAAUCCACGCUGAUUGGGCGUAUAUUGGCGAUGUUCCUUCGGGAACUAUGGUAAUAAACGCGCAUGUAAUAAGCGGAUCGGACCCGGGGGCGGUACCCGGCGACUCCACCAAAUAUACCGUUCAUUUGGCGGUUGGCAUGGGGUCGAAAUAGGAUCGACGGACGUCUAAAGAUGUUUGCUUUUGCCCGGUGCGGUGUCGCUGUUAUCGACCCACUUAAGCUAGUUGCAAAUGACAACAAAGCACCGAUGGCUGUAGCUGCGUAAGCAGUUCCAAAUAUUGGAAAACUUAGGGAUUUAUUUGGAUUUAUUUGUCCGCUUCCAACAUUCCCGAUU